UUUAAAGGCCGAUAAAUAUAAGAAUGGAUUAAUUCUAAGGGACUUGACACCUUUGAAGCCUUACCAAAAGGCUUCUUACUCAUUUUACCAGCUAAACAUGACUCACAUUUAGGUAACUUAACCUUCGUAAGCCGAUCUAAAAGACCUUCUUUAGUUAGUCUACUCAUUCAGUCUUGACCAAUAUGGCUAAGUCUAGCAUGUCACUUAACAGAUUCAGAAUCACAAUCAAAGUGAGAAACAUAAACACUCAUAGAAUUAUUAUAUAUAUUAUCUUCCACGUCAAAAACAAAGAAAUUAUUUCUUAAAGACCCAUGACCAAAUACAUCGCCAUAUUAUAUAAUGUCUAAAGUAACAGGCUUAAAGUUAAAAGAGAAACUCAAUCUCAAUAAGGAAACAACUGAAAGUAAAUAAUAUUGCACCCCAAGUGCAUAGAGAGUAUCAUGAAAGAGUAAAGUAUUUCCUCCACGUAGCUUGAGCUAGUAUGUUCUGAUUCCAAGGACAUCCUCUUUGUUUUCGUUGCUCAAUACAAUAAUUUGCAAACCCACCGAGACACGAUGAUAGUCCACGAAUCCAGCUCGAUCUUGAACUACAUGUUUACUUGCUCCCGUGUCUACAAUCCAAUUAGGAAAAUAAUUAGCAACUAAUACAUGGGAGCAAACAAAUAAAUCAAGAGGCAAAAUAGAGAUA
rnacentral:lncRNA from 1 species